UACGAAGGUUGCAAGCGUUACUCGGAAUUACUAGGCGUAAAGGGCAGGUAGGUGGUUUGGUAAGUCUAUUGUGAAAGCUCCCGGCUCAACUGGGAGAGGCCAAUGGAUACUGCCAAGCUUGAGUAUAGGAGAGGUUACUGGAAUUCCCGGUGUAGCGGUGAAAUGCGCAGAUAUCGGGAGGAACACCAAUGGCGAAAGCAGGUAACUGGACUAUUACUGACACUCAACUGCGAAAGCUAGGGGAGCAAACAGGG
rnacentral:rRNA from 1 species